rnacentral:rRNA from 1 species
GAUGAACGCUAGCUACAGGCUUAACACAUGCAAGUCGAGGGACCGGCGCACGGAAGAGUAACGCGUAUCCAACCUACCCAUUACUGUGGGAUAACAUGCCGAAAGGCAGACUGAACAAGAAUAGUAAUGGAUGGGGAUGCGUUUGAUUAGCUUGUUGGCAGGGUAACGGCCCACCAAGGCGACGAUCAGUAGCGGUCCGGAGAGGAAGGGACCCCACAUGGGAACGGCGACACGGUCUAAACUGCGACGGGGUGGAGCAGUGAGGAAUAUUGUUCAAGGGGCGCGAGCCUGACCCAGCCAAGUAGCGGGCAGGAUGCCUGCCUCGGGGUUGUAAACUGUUUUGGUAUGGGAAUAGGUACCAUACCAGUAAGGACCGGCUAAUUCCGUGCCAGCAGCCGCGGUAAUAC